rnacentral:rRNA from 1 species
AACACAGCACUCUGCUAACUCGUAAGAGGAUGUAUAGGGUGUGACGCCUGCCCGGUGCUCGAAGGUUAAUUGAUGGGGUUAGCAUUAGCGAAGCUCUUGAUCGAAGCCCGAGUAAACGGCGGCCGUAACUAUAACGGUCCUAAGGUAGCGAAAUUCCUUGUCGGUUAAAUACCGACCUGCAUGAAUGGCGUAACGAGAUGGGAGCUGUCUCAAAGAGGGAUCCAGUGAAAUUGUAGUGGAGGUGAAAAUUCCUCCUACCCGCGGCAAGACGGAAAGACCCCGUGGACCUUUACUACAGCUUGACACUGCUAUUUGGAUAAGAAUGUGCAGGAUAGGUGGGAGGCUUUGAGUAUAUGACGCCAGUUGUAUAUGAGCCAUUGUUGAGAUACCACUCUUUCUUAUUUGGGUAGCUAACCAGCUUGAGUUAUCCUCAAGUGGGACAAUGUCUGGUGGGUAGUUUGACUGGGGCGGUCGCCUCCCAAAUAAUAACGGAGGCUUACAAAGGUUGGCUCAGAACGGUUGGAAAUCGUUCGUAGAGUAUAAAGGUAUAAGCCAGCUUAACUGCAAGACAUACAAGUCAAGCAGAGACGAAAGUCGGUCUUAGUGAUCCGGUGGUUCUGUGUGGAAGGGCCAUCGCUCAAAGGAUAAAAGGUACCCCGGGGAUAACAGGCUGAUCUCCCCCAAGAGCUCACAUCGACGGGGAGGUUUGGCACCUCGAUGUCGGCUCAUCGCAUCCUGGGGCUGGAGCAGGUCCCAAGGGUAUGGCUGUUCGCCAUUUAAAGCGGUACGCGAGCUGGGUUCAGAACGUCGUGAGACAGUUCGGUCCCUAUCUGCCGUGGGCGUAAGAAGAUUGAAGAGAUUUGACCCUAGUACGAGAGGACCGGGUUGAACAAACCACUGGUGUAGCUGUUGUUCUGCCAAGAGCAUCGCAGCGUAGCUAAGUUUGGAAAGGAUAAACGCUGAAAGCAUCUAAGCGUGAAGCCAACUCUAAGAUGAAUCUUCUCUAAGCUCUCUAGAAGACUACUAGUUUGAUAGGCUGGGUGUGUAAUGGAUGAAAGUCCUUUAGCUGACCAGUACUAAUAGAGCGUUUGGCUUAUCUUU